AGCGAACGCUGGCGGCAGGCUUAACACAUGCAAGUCGAGCGGGCACUUUCGGGUGUCCGCGGCGGACGGGUGCGGAACGCGUGGGAACGUGCACGCUGGUUCGGAAUAACGCAGGGAAACUUGAGCUAAUACCGGAUACGCCCUCUUGGGGAAAGGUUUACUGCCGGAGGGUGGGUCGGCGUUUGAUUAACUAGUUGGUGAGGUAACGGCUUACCAAGGGGGCGGUGAGUAGCUGGUCUGAGAGGAUGAUCCGCGACACUGGGAGUGGGACACGGCCCGGACUCUUACGGGAGGCAGGAGUGGGGAAUAUUGGACAGCGGGCGGAAGCCUGAUCCAGCCAGGCCGGGUGAGUGAUGAAGGCCUUAGGGUAGUAAAGCUCGUUUAUCCGUGACGAUAAUGACGUUACCGGAGGAAUAAGCCCCGGCUAACUUCGUG
rnacentral:rRNA from 1 species